UUGUAACAAGGAUUGCCAUAGGAAGUAAUUAACUACUACUACAAUAUCAAUCUCAGUCAAAACUUUAAAAUCAUGCAAAAAAAACAAAAAUUAAAGUUUAGAUACAGAAUAAACUUCAGAUUAAUGAAGAAAAAAAUCGCAUUAAUCGGUUUCCUCACUUUAUUCAACAGAACAUAAAAUUAAAGGAAUCAGGAUAGGUCAGGGGAAUGCGAUGUAUGUACAUAAAUAUGGAGCCUCCUGUUCAUCCAUUCCAUCAUACAUCCUCAAAGGCAUUGCAAGGGUUCUCACUGCUAGUGCAACUCUAGUUAGUUCAUGCUUCCCAAAUUUAUCACUUUGCUAGACCUACAAUAGAGUUUCACACCAUCAAUUCAAAGGGAGAGGGUUAUUUUACACAUUUAAUCAUUUUUAACAUGAGAAUUGCUUCUUCUUUUUUAAAAAAAUAAAAAAUUGCGUACAUUAAAUGCUUUAACAGAGUUUCAAAAUGAAAUGAAAAUAAAUUAAUUACAAAACUGUAGCUAUUGUUAGUUGAAAUGAGUUCUAUCAAUUGUUUUCAAACCAAAUACCACAUAAAAUUAUCUUUCCUAUUUCUAAAAUUUAAUUUUCUUAUGAUCAACUACACAAUUUCGAAACAUAAGCCAAAAUAAACCCAAAGGAACUAUGUUCUCCAGUAAUUACAAGUUAAUUAAAAAUUUCAAGUAUUACUGAUAUAUACAAAUGAGUGAAUGGAUAUAUGGCUCAUACUAUACGACACGUACUACUACCGGUAAUGCAGCCAGAAUCGACUAGAAGCUCUCCUAAGGCAUCAAAAGCACCUUCGCCUUUCUAGCCAAGAUCAAAGUCAGCUAGAACAUUGACGAUGUAAUCUAUGAUUAGCUGAUUCACGUCUUGGCCUUAACAGACCCAAUUUUUUGUGCACAACUGAGCUUGAUACUUCAAUCAUCUUCUUUCAUCUCCCUUUACGAUUUGGCUUUCGAGGAAAAGAAAAUGAUGUCUGUGUUGCAUACCGCAGCCAACCCCUGAGUAACUUGCAAAGGACCAUCUAGGCUCACUCCUAGUAACAAGAAGAAAUCACAGUUUGGUCCUCUACAAUUUGCCCCCUUUUCCGAAUGGUAAUUUAUUCAUUUAGUUUCCAUAAAUAUGUCCCAUAUGUUACUAAGUACUGUAGGUUAUCUUAUCAAAAUUACUUUUACCAUUUAUUCAAGCAUGGUAUUAGUAUCAGAUUAAGGAAAAUAUUUAAUAUUUCUCGAGUGCAACACAGUUAAUUAUCAAAAUAAUACUUAAAUUACAUUAUUAUUGGACAUAUUUAUUUAAUUUUCAGUCACAUCUAGGUGACCAAUACUUUAUGCACAACAAGACGGGGCAGGAGAGUGGCGGGGAAGAGUCUUGCAUUUAAGUUUAAAUCUCUCUUGAUAAAGUGUGCCACAUACAUAAGCUAAAGAUUGAUUAUUAUUUUUCUCCUACUCCUAAUCUGAUCUUGUUGCUUACACAUGAAGCAUUUUAUUCCUAUCUUAAUUUAAAAAAUCUGAACUAGCAAUGGCUAAAAAACUCUGUGCUGAGCCUUGGCAAUCUGUGCUUAAUGCACAUGUAAAACCCCUCACAACACAUAAAAUCCUGUUUAACUAAAUAGAUACAAUAAUAUAAGAAGAUUGAACAAUAAUCAAUACCUCAGAUGGAAUGAGUCACCAGGAAGAGCUUUUGAUUCUGUAGAGUUCAACCUCCACUUCAACACCAUCCCAGCUUAAAACUUGACAUGAUCAACGUUUUUCUUCCUCCCUGGAGCGGAAGGUAAUGUAAUUUCGCCAUAAAUCACCUGGUACUUGAUUUUGUGAUUGAAAUCUCAAUCGCUAAUUUAGCAAAUUCUUUAAUUUCCACAAAAAGAGGAUGAUAUUCAUUUUUCAUGUUCAUCAAACUAUUCAUAUCAUCAUCCUCAAUUACUCCUCCUCCGACUCCAUCGAGAUUAGUGGUUCUUCUUUCUUCUACUCAUCAUCAGUUGUAGUAUAAGAGAAUCUUUAUUCUUCUCUUCAUCAUCA
rnacentral:lncRNA from 1 species